rnacentral:RNase_P_RNA from 1 species
UUCGCGGGCCACGCGGUCGCCUCGAUAAAAUCGGGGAGGAAAGUCCGGGCUGCGUAGGGCACGGCGCCUCGUAACGCAAGGACCCCGAUAACAUCGGGGUGGAAAGUGCCACAGAAACAAUACCGCCCCCAGCAACUGCCGGGAGCAAGGGUGAAACGGUGGUGUAAGAGACCACCCACUCCGGUGGCAACAUCGGUUUGGGUAAACCCCGCCGGUUGCAAGGCCAAGUAUAGGAGAAGGAGUUGCCCGCUCCAUAUUACUCCAGGGUAGGCCGCAUGAGUAUGACAGUGAUGUCAUUCCCAGAUAGAUGACCGCCUUCCGUUCAUAGAGCGGAUUACAGAACCCGGCUUAUGGCCCGCUAACCUU